rnacentral:tRNA from 1 species
GCGGGUGUCGUAUAGUGGCUAUUAUAUUACCUUGCCAAGGUAGGGACGGGAGUUCGAUUCUCCUCACCCGCUCCA